ACUCCAACCCUGUUCCUGGAGAGAUACCCUCCUGUAGGUUUACACUCCAACCCUGUUCCUGGAGAGAUACCCUCCUGUAGGUUUUAACUCCAACCCUGUUCCUGGAGAGAUGCCCUCCUGUAGGUUUAUACUCCAACCCUGUUCCUGGAGAGAAACCCUCCUGUAGGUUUUAACUCCAACCCUGUUCCUGGAGAGAUACCCUCCUGUAGGUUUUAACUCCAACCCUGUUCCUGGAGAGAUACCCUCCUGUAGGUUUUAACUCCAACCCUGUUCCUGGAGAGAUACCCUCCUGUAGGUUUUAACUCCAACCCUGUUCCUGGAGAGAUACCCUCCUGUAG
rnacentral:lncRNA from 1 species